ensembl:snoRNA small nucleolar RNA SNORA2/SNORA34 family
CUGGCCCUGAAUCAAGGCCAGCAGCUUCCUGACACUGUUGGUUUCAAGCAGGAACCUAAAGAGAUGUCUUUCUAUGGUCUGUUGGCCGUAGAACAUAGAACUUGGGCAGUGAAAUGGUCAAUUCAUUAGAAAAAAACAGCU